UGCCCAGCAACUCCUAUCCCUACCUCCUCGCGGUACCGGCCGGAAACUAUGAGCAACCUUAGGAAAGAUCGGGUAACCAACCCCGGUGGGAACUUUGGUCGUAGGUUGACAGGGAAGG
rnacentral:ribozyme from 1 species